UAAUAUACAUAACCAGUGUAUUGGAUAAGCUUAGAUAAGCAGUGUAUCGGAUAAGAUUAGAUAAGAUAAGAUAACUAAUGUACAAAAGAUAACUAGUACUAUCUUUUAAUUUUUAUUUAAGGAUUUUAGUUUUUAUAAAUAUGUUUGGCGUUUUAACAUUUUUUUACAUGGACGAUGUUUAUUAAGUUUUAAUACUCUUUAUUUUAUGUUAAAUGUUUUAUUCAAUUUUAGUACUGUUAACUUAUUUUUUUGUUUGUUGAUGCAACCAUUCUAGUUGGGAUUUAGUUAGCAACCAGACCUGGUUGACUAGUUCGUAACUAUAUGAGUGACACCUAACCAAGUUCCAUUAAUUUACCAUGAGAUUGUUCAACAAAGUUGUUUAAAGCAAGACUUUUAAAGUUGUUUAACAAAGUUGUUUAAAGCAAGACUUUUAAAGUUGUUCAACAAAGUUGUUUGAAGCAAGACUUUUAAAGUUGUUCAACAAAGUUGUUUAAAGCAAGACUUUUAAAGUUGUUCAACAAAGUUGUUUAAAGCAAGACUUUUAAAGUUGUUCAACAAAGUUGUUUAAAGACAUUUAAAGAACGUUUAACGGAAGAAGACUUUUAAAGAACGAGUUGAAGAAUUCUAAAGAUUCAAAAAACGAAAUUUAGUAAAACAAUAUUUAUGUAUUUUUAUAUCUUAGAACAAUUUUGCAUUUUACUUUAUUUAAUUUACGGAAAAUUUUGGAGAAGUAAUUACGAUUUGUCAUGUUUCAA
rnacentral:misc_RNA from 1 species